UUAUCUAGACAGGGGUAUUCACAUCUUGUGGAUUGAGAAACACUCUUAGAGCUGAUCUAGGUAAUGCUAGCGUAGCGAGUCAGUUUUUAAGUUCA
rnacentral:ncRNA from 2 species